rnacentral:lncRNA from 1 species
AGGUUCCAGAAAUUAGAGCAUGGACAUCUUUUAGGGGCCGUUCUCCUAAUUUACAUGUGGAUGCAUGUGGAGCCAGCAUUCCAGGCAGAGGAAACAGCAGAGGCAAAGGCCAUAAAAUACUAAUGGGCUUGAUUUGUUCAAGGAGCCUCAAGCAACCAACAUGGCUGGGCAGCAGAGCAUGGAAGAGGGAAACAGCUGACAGCAGAAGGGGUGGCUUUGAUCGGCUUUCAUCUCCCUCUCCAGGCCUCCCCAUAUCGCUCCACCUGGAAUAAAAAUAAAAGCUAAGAAAAACCCAUCUAUCGGCACAAGCACAGCAUCCAGACUAGUCACCUUGGCUUGUCACAGCCCUCGCCACACUGAGACAUAGACAUAGACAUUGAUAGAUAAAAACUUGAUUUUAUAAAAAUCAAAAGACAGUAAUAAUGAGGACAUUCAGAAAAUGGAGAACCAUUUAGCUGGAAUCUGAAAUAGUAUAAUACAGCAGCAGCAGUUACCAUCCUUUGAGUACAAAGUGUGAGAAUGCUGCUUGAAGUUGGAGAUUGGAGGCUUUGGGGAGCAGUUUCUUUACUUCGCUGACAUCCUGGACAUCACACAUGGGCCUUACAAAGUUCACACACAAGCCUCUGCAGCCUCCGUCUGCUUGUUCUGAGAUCAAACUGGGCGGCCUUCGGCUCUGGCUUUGAUUAGCUAUGCACAGCCUGACUGCCUGAAACUCAUGCAAUAGAGAUGAAUGGAAAAUGAGGCUUGUAAUUAUUUUCAAAAGACGUGCAGCCUGACUUCAGCCCAUGAAGACUUCCAGGCCCCUGGAAAAGCCUGGCUCUGUGGACAUGCGAGCUGUGCAGUCUCAUGGUGCCUCCGUUUAGAAGGGCCCCAUGUUAGGUUUAAUGCUUGGCUCUCUUGAAAUUCUCAAUAAGUUUUGAAUGAGGGGCCCCAUGUUUUCAUUUUGUGCUUGGUUCUGCUUUGAAACUGCCUAGAAACCAUCUUUCCCAUUUUCAUUCCAGUUGCUCAAACCCCUUUCUCAAACCUUUCAGAGAGGAAGGUAGCACAGGGGAUAUUCCUGGGACUGUGGUGUGGAGGGGUGUAGGUUGGUUACAGCAGCUCCUGGAUGGUUGAUGAUGAGGAUGCUGCAGAUAUGAGCAGGGCGUUAGCUGAGUGAGACUUCAGGAUAAACCAACCUGGAGGUCCAUCUUCCAAGGAUGGAGGUAUCAUUUUACCCGAGUAUGGAUAAUCUGGGGCAAAGAGCAGAAAUGUCCCUAGCCCCAAACCUAUCAACAGAGUAGCAAGGGCCCAGUGAUAACCUCAUCAAACCCAUCUUGAAGUGGGAUGGGCAGGGCCAAGAAAUAAAAGAGGAAGAAACUAACCAGGAGCCUCGGCCACACUCCAGGCUUGUUCUGUGUCCAGCCGGGCUCACUGCAACUUGGUUUUCAGGGUAUGAGCUGAGCGGCAGUACAACCUGUGUUGUUUAGCAACACAGUACCUUCCCCGUUUACUGCUGUAAGGUGUUAACGAGGAGGCAAAUGAAUUACAACUGACAGUUUACAAAGCAAAGGGGUCCAGGCAUGGUGGCUCACACUUCUAAUCCCAGCACUUUGGGAAGCCAAGGUGGGAGGAUCGCUUGAGUCCAGGCAUUUGAGAUCAGCCUGGGCAACAGAGUGAGGCCCCAUCUCUACACAAAAGAAAAACAACAACAACAACAACAACAACAAUUAGCCAGAUGUGGUGGUGCAUUACUGUGGUCCCAGCUACUCGGAAGGCUGAGGUGGGAGGAUUGCUUGAGCCAAGGAGUUUGAGGUUACAGUGAGCCGUGAUUGCGCCACUGCACUCCCACCUGGGUGAUAGAGAGAGAGAGAGAGAGAGACCCUGUCUCUAAAAUAAAAUAAAACAUACAAAGCAAAGAGAUGCCAUUGCUCUUGCUGCUUCGUCCCCACUCCUCUGAGAUGGAGGAAGAGUAGCCGCUGUUUUAAUAGACGGUCACUAAGAGUUAGCUGCUCCUGGGUGUCUAUCUUUGUGCACACGUGAUUUCUUUAAGGCUCUGAAUUUCCUAUAGUGCUCUGCACAGAGCAGUCUUUAGGAGAAGAGACAUCUGGAUAUCUAUGAAAUCAGUAUUAAAAAUAUAUUCUAGGUCACCCAAUUCCCAACCGUAGUUCCCAGGUAAGGUGUCAAGGGUGGAAACAUCCUGGUUGAUGUCAUACUGUCUGCAGUGAAUGGAGCUAGGACUUGGACCUGGCCUUUGGGCACAAAGGCCACUGCUCUUUCUCCAUCCCUCUUGACUGCUCAGACCUGAUCACCACUGAUGGAGUGUGUAUUGUUCCUUGCCAGUCUUUCUCAACACAGCCUACUUUGCAGUUUUGUUCAUUACUGUGUCUCCAGUGUCUGUCCCUUGAAAGAAGCUCAAGACAUUUUGAAUGGAUAAAUGAACAGAAGAGAAUACCUGUGUGUGAAUCUUGUUCCUGCCCUGUGCCAGCUGUGUGACCUUAGGUGAAUUAUUGCCCCCUCUGAGCUUCAGUUUCUUUAUUUCAAAACCACCAAGUGGCUGAGAAAAUAAACCCAGGCAAGAGAAGAAAACACCUGCCCUGCCAGGGGAGCUGAUGAAUAUCUCCUUCUUCCUUCUUUCUUUCUCCCAUUAAAUUUGACAGCCUCUGCUUUACUGCAGGGAGAGAGCCAGGAGCCUGUUUAGGCGGUAGUAGGACUCCUUUCCAUUCACUGCACUCCCAGCCUGAUCUCAGAGGCUCAUGUAGUCAGCAGAGCAAGAGAAAUGGGCUGGGAAACAGGCUGGAUUUAUUUCCUUCCUUUCCAGCAAAGUACUCUAAGGAUGUGCCCAUCCAUAACCUCGUUGCUCACAUGAAGACCGAGUGACGACUCAGAUGGAUGGAGAUGUAUGAACCUCUCUGCACAUGUGAAAAUCCAACCCUAAGCCAUGCAGGGGAAAUGGGCACCAAACUCAAGGGCAGGCACAUUCCAGAGCAUGGGGUCUGCGGGGGAUGGCCUCGCCCAACCCAGGCAUGGCUCACACACCAUUUAUUUCUUUACUGAGCUGGAAACUCAAAUCCAAAGUUUUCCCGAUGGCCCCGGAGGAAUAAAAGAAUUGGGGAGAGGGAAAAGGUGGAGAAGAAGGUGAAAGAAAUGAAGGAAAAGAAGGAAGUGAAGAAGAAAAAUAAGAGGGAAGAAAAAAAUGAGAAAGAAAGACACAUUUUAAACUAGAAUAAAGUAUAUACCCUUUCUUAAUUGACUGACCAUGAACCAAAUCAGAGCUUUCAAAGAGAAUCUGACCAAAUUGUUAUUUCAGUUUACUUUAGAGUGUGAUUUGAUGUAAAGAAGUCAGUCUGUCUUGCCCCACUAAGCCUUGUUUAAAUGAACUGCAAUGUUCUGUAAGUUUCUUCUGGAACCUUAGCCCACCCAUAUGCUACAAAUAUGUGUUACUAGGGUGAUCAGCCAUCCCAGUUUUCCUGACACUGAAAGGAGUCCGUGGAUGCAGGACUUUGGUGCUAAAACUGAGAAAGUUCUGGGUACACGAGGACAAACUUGUCACCCUAAUGACAAUGUCAUGGCUUGAACUAUGGCCCCUAGAAAGAUGUAUCUCAGUCCACAUCCCUGGAAGGUGUGAAGGUCACCCUAUUUGAAAGAAGAUCUUUGCAGAUGUGUUUAAGUUAAGGAUUUUGAGAUGAGAUUAUCCUGGGUUACUCAGGUAGGUCCUAAAUUCAAUGGCAAGUGACUAUAUAAGGAAGAAGAGAAGACACACACAGACAGAAGGGAAGGCCACAUGAAGAGGGAUGCAGAGAUUGGAAUGAUUUGGCCAUAGCCAAGAGAUGCCUGAAGCCACCAGAAGCUGGAAAAAAAUAGAGAAGGAUUCUCCUCUAGAGCCUUCCGACAGACCAUAACCCGGCUAACAUCUUGAUUUGGGACUUAUGGCCUCCAGAACUGUGAGCACAUAAGUGUAUGUUGUUUUAAGCCACCAACUUUGUGGUGAUUUGUUGGAACAGCCCUAGGAAAGCGAUACAGGCAGUAAAGAAAUAAAAGGCAAGGUGGACAUAUCUGGAACUCUCAGGAUGCUUUCUGAUUUGCUCUAUCUCUAGCAAAGUUUCUAGAAUACAUUUCUGGAGAAGUAGAAGUAGCAUGCAUAAUUUUCUAAAAUUCUAAACACCACUCCCAAAACUUUCAUAUUUACUUAACUCCUGUAGGCAACGUGGCAUGUGGUCCUAGCAUCCCAGUUCCCUGGGAGAUGGCCCUCCUGGCCAGGGUGGUGCCUUUCUUUAGCUCCCAGGUCCUGCCCCCUGGAUAAAGGCUGUCUGCAUGUCAUGGUCCUAGAGCUGGGGGCAGGGAGGGCAUUUGCAAGGAGGGAGGCCUGUUAGAACUGUGAGCACAUCUCAGCACACAGAUGGGCAUCUCUAUUAGUCCAUUCUUGCACUGCUAUAAAGAAAUACCAGAGCCUGGGUAAUUUAUAAGGAAAAGAGGUUUAAUUGGCUCAUGGUUCUGCAGCUGAACAGGAAGCAUGGCUGGGAGGCCUCAGGAAACUUACAAUCAUGGGGGAAGGUGAAGGGGAAGCAGACACAUAUUACUUGGCUGGAGGAGAAGGAAGAGUGUGUGGGAAGGUGCUACACACUUUUAAACAACCAGAUCUCAUGAGAACUCUUUCACGAGAACAGCACUAGGGGGUUGAUGUAAACCAUUAGAAUCCACCCCUAUGAUCCAAUCACCUCCCACUAGAUCCCACCUCCAGCACUGGGGAUUUCAUUUCAACAUGAGAUUUGGGUGGGGACACAGAUCAGGGUAUAUCAGUAUCACAUCUGAUGUUGGAUGAGCAUCGCAUAGUAUAUCAGCGUCACAUCUCUGCUUGACACCCAGCGGGCACUGUGUUUUCUUAGAUUCUGUGUUUGUCUUUUGGCAUCCAUUAAUCACAGGGCCAAACUAAUGCCCAAAGUUGUUUAUGUCUCCCCUGCAAUCAGCUUUGGAGGGUGUUUGAAAAUCAUAUUACAAACUCUCCAACCAAGCCAGAGCACAACCCCCCAACUUCUUCCUUAUCUAACUCCCACACACCAAGCCAGUAUUUCGCCUGCCUCACAUCACCCGGGACCAGGGACAAGACAACUAAGACCUCUCCUGUAGCCCAGAGCCUGCAACAUUAUUCACAUCAGCCAAUCUCAAGCUGUUUCCCCUGCCCUACCCUGCCCUACCCUGCUUUCCCCUUGAGAAACACAAUAAAGGUUCCUGCCCAGACUUUUCUGUGGCUCCUUCCACUGACUCCUAGGUGGGCUGGUGUGCCCCUUUCUCUUGGGAAACGCAAGUAAAAUAUUCUUUUGAUGGCACCUGCUUCUCCCUGCUGUCACUCAGUCACUUCCAUAAAUUGAAAUCCAUUGGAUACAACUGGGACAGUUGGCAUCACAGGUGACUCAACAUUUGAUAGAGCUGCAUGCCCCUGGGCUGCUCUUGGCUUACUAACUGGCUUCGCCAACAAUGAGCACCCCUGGCUGUGGACAUACCUGCACUUUAGCGCCUCCACUCUAUGCUAUGUCUACCAUGUGCUGCCAUGAUGUUCCACCCUAAAUUGUAAGAGGACCUCAAAGGCACAUGCCUCCAUGGUACACCUCACUUUGUAUAGUUUAGUUUUUAGGAAGGCUAAAACCAUCAUCUUGGAUAUGCAACAAGAUCCACUGGGUCUGUUUGAUACCCAGGCACCCAGGAAGGAGGGAGUGCAUUGAUUGACCAGCAUACAAGGCUCCUCUCAAGGGAACAGGGAGAGGAUUCUUCCAGAAGGACUGUAUUGAAUCUGAUCCACAUGCCCAUCAAUGCCAAAGUCAGUGUAAGGCUCAUUCAGCCUGACUUGAGUUCUUUUCUCUGGGUAAGUGAAUUAUUGCACUAACCUGCCCUUUGAGAGAGCAUUCCUGGCAAAAUUCUAGGUGCAGUAUCCUCUGGUAAACCAUAGGGAUGCAACACCAAGUACUCCUCUCAUGGAAGCCAUUGGCAUCCAAAAAUUUUCAAGGACAAAUCUCUGUUGUUGCUUGCCUUGCUGCUGUUGCAAUUCGUCUCCUAACUUAGCAGGAUAUAAAAGAUCCCAUCCAUGGAGACAAGUGGCUAAAUAUUUAAUGGAAAAAGGAAAGAAGGAGCAUGUUGUUCCACUCCCCUUAAGACAUCUGAGGACGUUCCUCAGCUCAUGCAAGAUUGUAAAUCUCCUGACCAAUGUGUCCGGGCACUCCUGAGUGCUGCUACCUAAUCAACAUGCGAACAGCCUCCUUCUUAAGAGUAAAUUGUCACAAAAUCAGGAUGUGACAUCAUUGUUCUCUUGAAUGUGGACCCCAGACCUUCUGAGGUUGAUUGGGACACCCUAGAGAGGGAGGCUGCUGCUCACAGCAGAGGUCACUCAGGACUACCAGGAACUUAUCAGGUAAACACCCAAAGGAAAAAAAAUGUCUGGGGAAAGACAGGAGACAUAAAAGGGGGGAAAAGUGGGAGAGGGAAGGAUUUUAACCACUUAGAGAUACAAGCCAUUCUAAAAAGAUUUAAGAGAAAAAAAAAAAAGCCAGGGGUAGAAAAGAGACUGAUUAGGGUGGGUACAUAAUCAGUUGCAGGGGAGUGGCUGCUGCUAGAGGUCCUGUGUCACUUCCCUCACCCCCUUUUCUCUUAUCAGCCAGAGACAAAAAUAAAAAAUAAAAAAAAAUUAAAAAGCAGUUUCAGGUGGUCAAAAGCCUAAAACAAAACAAAAAUAACAAAUAAACAAGGAUAACCCUUAGAUACAGAGGGAGGAAAAAAUGUCAGAUUUCUUUUUUCUUUUUUUUUUUUUUUGAGAUGGAGCCAUACUCUGUUGCCCAUGCUGGAGUGCAGUGGCGCAAUCUUGGCUCACUGCAAUCUCCGCCUCCUAGAUUCAAGCAAUUCUCCUGCCUCGGCUUCCCAAGUAGCUGGGAUUACAGGUGUGCAUCACCACACCUGGUUAAUUUUUGUAUUUUUCGUAAGAGAUGGGGUUUCACCAUGUUGGCCAGGCCGGUGUCGAGCUCCCAAUCUCAGGUGAUCCACCUGCCUCAGCCUCCCAAAGUGCUGGGCUUACAGGCAUGAGCCACUGCAUCCCACAAAAUGUCAGAUUUCUAUCCCUGUCUGAUCCUCUCCCACCUCUGCUUGCUGCUUCUCUAGUGUGGAUAAAUAGGAGAUGCAGUGCUGCAUCUACAUACCACAGCUUCCAGCUCUGCAGGGAGAUACUGUUCAUUCAGGGACAGUGUAUUAACUACCCUACCAGGACACUGACUGUGAAGUCACUGUAAAUGGUUACUGUUGUGUAAAUGUGAGAAGAAGCUGGGCAUUAAUGUGCUGGGUGACUCUGAACCAGGCCCCCACCUUUCUGAACCUGUUUCCCAGAUCUGAGUCUUGGCUUGGCUUGGUCUAGAUACAAAUUCACAUGUUGUUGUUGUUAUUUCUAUUUUCCUUUAUUUUAUCAUAUUCAUUUAUUUAACACAGCACUCUCUCUUCAAAUAAAACUUUAGCAAGGGCCCAGGUAUAAAGCAACUGAAGCAGAACCUCUCUGAGUGGGCCCUCAUUCUUCUGUCCCCGUUGCUGGACACUGCUUAGGACCCCUGAGACAGAGAUUUAUAACAGAAAACCACCCUCAAGAGGGUGUGUCUCCUUGCUUUGCAGUUCAGAAUCACAGUCAUAUUGGGUCACUAUUUCUGAGUGUAUAUUUUUAAAGAUCAGAUCACAGCUGAGUGAUCUGAAGGGUAAUCACUCCCUGGCUUAAACCUUUCACCUAUGUUCCUUUGCUUAUUUUGUUAACUUCAGACCCUUCCUCCCAUGAGGCCCUGUACCUCUAUAGGAGCACUCAGGCACACCAGAAGACCCCUCUCCUCCUCUUCUGUGUCCUAGCCUGGUUGCCUCCUUUCUCUUCCUUGACUGAACCAGAUACUUCCCUGCUUCAAGGUCUUUUCCCUGAUUAUACCCACUUCCUGAAACGCUCUCUUGGAGCAAAUUCUUUGGCUGUCUCUUUCUACAGUGUCAGCUUAAAUGUCCCCUCCUCAGAGAAGCCUUCCUUGACCCCCAGUUUGAAGUGGCCACUCCUAUUCCCACUUCAGCUCACCUUUUGUCUCAUUUCAAUAACAGCAUAUGUUGAACCUAUGCAUUUGUUUGUUUAUUUAUCUAUUUACUGGUCUGUUUAUGGUCUCCUCUACCAAAAUGGUCAUACCAUGAAGGCAGGAACCAUGAAUGGCUGCCUCAUUAAAUUCCAUAUCCCCAGCACCUACAACAAUGCCUAACAUCUGAGGGCUCAAAAACUGUGUUGAAUAACUAAGAGAAUUAAUUAAUUAAUAAAUGAAUGAAUGCACUCUGGGUUUGAGAAGAGGAUUUUUUUUUUUAACUACUGCCCUUGGUAUCUGUGAAGCACAAUUUGAAAGCUCAGUAAUUUGUCAGUUGUCACAAACCCAACUCAGUGGUAGUAAUUCUUACAUUCAUGUAUAUUAACAAUAAGUACUUAUUCCUACAUUCAGGUCCAUAGGUCAAGCACGACUUGGCGGAUCCAGGCUGGGCUCUGCUGGGCAUGGCUGCAGGCUGUGGGUUGGGAUCAGGUCUGCUCCAUAUGUGUUUAUCUUGGGCAUAGUCUAAAGGGAGAGCAGCUCCUCUCUGGACACACUCCUCAUGGUGGAUCCCUGGGGACAAGAGCAAGCAAGCUUCAUGAGCACAUUUAAUGACUUUAGUCUCGUCACUUCCUCUGACACUCUGACCAUCCUUGGUCAAAGCAAGUCACACAGCCAAACCCACAUCAAUGGACCAGGAAGGCCCAUUAUCUGCUGAACAAUAACUCAAACUAUCACUAAACUUAUGACCACGAACAGUGAUUCAAGAAACCAAAGUUUAAUGCAGGAUUGUUUGUGAUCUAAGAGGCUGUCUGAACAGGGAUGGCUGAGAUUAUUAGAGAGAGAAAGAGAGAGAGAGAGAGAAAUUCUUGUAUCUGAAUUACUCUGAAGGAAAGGCUCUGCUGCUGGCAGUUAAUGCAAACACACCCACAGCCACUGCCAGAAGCCUCCAGUCUCAAUGUGAUGACAUAGUGAGCAAAGGAGCCUGGGGGUUUCUAGCCCAAUUCAGUGCUGGGAAGCAAGAGCUCACUCACUCUCCCAUCCCCCUUUCCCACUACCCACCCCUCCCCUCCUGCCAGCAAAUGGAGGCAGCACAUUUUCACUCCAAUUUCCACUUAAAGCUGCAGCUGCUGUCGCCGCCUGGGAACCCCUAUCUUUUUACAUGUUAUUGUGGAUCAGUUGCCCGCUGCUGCAAUAAAGAACUCUCAGUGGGUUGCCUGGAAUUUCUAACUCAGUGCCACAGAAAACCUGGUGGAUAAGGAAACAAGAGGCUGCGCUUCAGUGGUGGUAAGUGCUAGACUUAAGCAGGCAACCCUGGGUCCUAGCCUCUUCUGGUCAGUCCUCUCCCAGACAUCAGCUCCAGGAGGGAAUCUGCUUCCUCAGCCAUGAGGGCAAUGAGGACCCUCACCAUAGCUAUCUAUAUGGGAUCCUCCAGCAUCCUUUAGCCUCGAUGGCAAAACACUCACUGGCUGUUUUCAGUAAGUUUUAGAUUCCCAAUAUUGUUCUUGCAAUCGUGGGGUGGAGGACAGAAGGGUGGAUGGUCAGGUAUUAGAUCGAUCAAAUCAAAUUGCAGUACUCAGACCCUGGGGGUACACAAUGACUUUCUAAGGGUUCACAGGCAACAGGCCAUUUUGAGAGAAUCACUUUUCAGAUUCUCAACUGACAUGGGUACUCUGUGGGCUCUUCAUUUCCACAUCCUCUUUUGGUAACACUCUUCUCCCACUUUAUAAAACAAAGAUUGAUCAGUCAAUGUUCUGGCAGGAGACAGAUAGCGUACUUACAUUGGCUAAUUGGAGGAAAGUUUCAUAAAGGUAUUAUUUAAAACUUGUGAUCCGGAUGAAGGGAAAUAGCAAACAAUAGUGCCAGGCCCUGGCUAGUAACAGUGGGGCCCUGGGGAGGGUGAGGGGAAAGAGCCUUCUGGAAUCUGCAGACAAAAGGAGACUCUAGGCGGGGGCUGUCAGACAGGAGCUGUGACCUUCUGCAGUGGAGGCAGGCAGCCUGGGCUCCCCCACAGUAGGGAUAAAGAACCCCUACCUCACUCAUCUCUCAGUCUACCAUCUCUGCCUGUUCUCGCUAUCCCAUGGCAAAACCCAACUGUUACAGGAAAGGGGUCCCGGUCCAGACCCCAAGAGAGGGUUCUUGGAUCUUGCACAAGAAAGAAUUCAGGGUGAGUCCAUACAGUGAAGUGAAAGCAAGUUUAUUAGGAAAGUAAAGGAAUAAAAGAACGGCUACUUCAUAGAGCAAACCUGAGGGUGGCUGGCUGCCCAUUUUUAGGGUUAUUUCUUGGUGAUAUGCUAAACAAGGGGUGGAUUAUUCAUGCCUCCCCUUUUUAGACCAUACAGGGUAACCUCCUGACAUUGCCAUGGCAUUUGUAAACCAUCCUUGUGCUGAUGGGAGUGUAGCAGUGAGGAUGACCAGAGGUCACUCUCAUGGCCAUCUUGGUUUUGGUGGGUUUUGGCAGCCUUCUUUACUGCAACCUGUUUUAUCAGCAAGGUCUUUAUAGACUUGUAGAUACAGGCCAACUUCCUCUCUCAUCUUGUGACUUAGAAUGCCUAAUUGUCUGGGAAUGCAGCCCAGUAGGUCUUAGCCUUAUUUUACCCAGCCCCUACUCAAGAUGGAGUUGCUCUGGUUCACACGCCUCUGACACAACCACAAGCCAGAAAGCAAGGGAGCUCAUUUUGAUGGAAGGCAUUCAAACAAUUGCAUAACAUGUAACAGAAGCUCUUUAAUCUCCAUCUGUUUAUUUACGUGAACAAGAUUCACCCUGCUUACAGCAACAAAAUCAAAAUUUUUUCAAAAGGGGGAUAAUGUUGAGGCCGAAACCUGUCUCCUUAUGAUAGUAAGCAACAGUCAUCCACGAAUACAUGAAUUAAUUGAGAAAACAGCCCCACGGCUGUUAUGUUUCUCUGAUCAAUGGUGCACUACUCACUAUCGUUAAUGAUAACUAAAUUCAGAAUCACAUGUUUAACAUUUAAAGCUUUACAGGAACAGAACUCUGGAUAUUAUCCGUUUUUAAUUUAUACAUGUUUUUGUUGCAGUAUGAUCAAUACAAGACUUCCAAGCAUAAAAGUAAGAUACACUCCCAUCAAAGUUGGCUAGAGGAGUAGAAGUUCUAGGAGAAAAAGGCAAAAUUUCCAACAAUUAGAGCUGAGUUUUCAUGCAUUUUUAAAAUCAAUCGUGGUGGGUAUCAAUCAUUAUGGUAUUGAGUUUCCACUAGACACACGUUAAAAUUGAUGUAAUAGUCUUCUUUUAGAAUAUAAAUAUUCAGUAUUUCUGAUACAAUGAUUUAAACUUAUGAUUAAAAAAUAAGGUGUUAAAAAUGUGAGAAGGUACAUGGAUUUUUAAAUGGAGGAGAAAAUGGAAGGGAUGAGUGUGGAAAACCUAGUAGGGGCAGAUAUUUACAUGGGCUUCACUUGCUGUUCAUGUGGCUGGGACGUCAAGGGAUGAAAUAAGAUAAGAUUCUAGAAGGUGUCCUCGACAGCCCUCAUCGAGUGCCUGAUGACAAGGUAGUAAUGUGCCGUUCGAAGAGAAAAUUGCUGGGUGGUCAGAAUAGGCCUCCUAGAGCCAACUGGAGAUCCAGGGCUGGGCAGGCACAGAGGUGGAUUUGAAUAUGUCGGGAGGAAGCUGCCUGGACCUUUAGAAAGAGGAAAUUCACAAAGCCCUAAGAGGCUCUCAUUUUCAACAACAACAACAACAACAAAAACAAUAAUAACAUUGUUGUGAUUCAAUACUUAUUGAAUACUAUUACUUUCCAGGGACUGGGAUAAGCAGUAUAUAUUGAUGUCUACAUUGGUAUCUCACUCAACCUAAUCCUUAAAGAGAGAAUCUCUAUCAUGAUGGUUAUCAUCACCAACUUAUAGAUGAGGAAACUGGUUGCCUUGCCCAGAUCACUCACCAGCUGCUGAAUGGUAGAGCUAGAAUUUCAACAGUAAUCCUCAGUCCUCCAAUUCCAGCACCAUCCUUUAGUCACCGCACCGUAUUACUUGCCUCUCUUUUGUUUGGUUGGUUGAUCACUUAUAUAGUCAUCCAAUCUUUCUUUUGUGGCCACAGGUGUGUGAACCAGAGCGACUCCAUCUUGAAUAGCAACUCCAUCUUGAAUAGGGGCUGGGUAAAAUGAGGCUGAGACCUGCUGGGCUGUAUUCCCAGGAGGCCAGGCAUUCUUAGUCACAGGAUGUUUACUGUUAAGGGAACAGAAACAGACCCAGAACUUAACAGAUGCAGGAAAUGUUUUGACAUCCUGAUAUCUUAAGAACAAAAGCAGUCCUACUUUAAGAAUAAGUCUUGCUUUAAAAAUAGUAAUAUAGACUCUUGGGAAGGACAGUAGUUACACAACGAUUAGCAAUCCUUUAUCACAAACCCCUGUAGUGGAGCAUAUCUUCCCCAUGAUGUUUGUUAUCUUAUAUCUAAUCAAGCCUUGCACCUAAGGUGGGGGCAUUCCACCUCUUUCAGGAAUGUCCUGCUCUGUCUCUGGUACAGCCACUCUUUCAUUCCUUUACUUCCUUAAUAAACUUGCUUUCACUCUACUCUGUGGACUCACCCCAAAUUCUUUCUUGUGCGAGAUCCAAGAACCCUCUCUUGGGGUCUGGAUUGGAACCCCUUUCUGAUAACAAUAAGGCAAAUAAUCGUUGAGCACAGACUGUGUGCUGGGCACUUUGCAAGAUAGCUUUGUCGAUACAUCUUAAUGUUGGAGAGUCCUCAUCCGUACUUAUUUCCUUGUGGAAGCCUGCUUUAAUGCUGUUAAAUUCUUUCCUUCUGUCUUGGGAAGGAAGGCAACACGCCUUUCAGAGCCUUGGAAGAUGAGCCUUUUUCUCUUUGCUUUUCUUUCCCUCAUUCUCCAACUUCAGGGCCCAGCUCCCAAGCCCAGUCUACCCCGGCCAGUCCCUGAGUGUCUGCCCCCACUCAGAACCCUUUUCCACAUCACUCAGUCUCCAGCCCAUGGAGCUCUGGCCAAUCAGCACCCACGUGGAGACGUCUUUCUAAUCAGACUUUUCAGUGCAGCUACACAUUAACCUCAAGUCUCUCUUCCUCUGCUCAAAGAUUCUAGCUCAGUGCUGAGCAAAAUGGUCUCUGUGUUCAUUGAGAUUACAUUCUGCUGUGAGUUUCCAAAUAGGAAAAAAUGACAGUAUUAUAUUAAUAUCUUAAACAGGAUAAAAAUAUAUUUCUAUGUUCUAUAAAUGUGGACAGUCCAGGGCUGGUACAGUGGCUCCUGUGAUGUCGAGGAUCAGGCCCCUUCUAGCUUGCUCUGCAAUGCCCUGCAAUGCCCUGCAUGAGGCUUCUCACUCAUAGUUCAAGGUGUCUGCUCCAGAUCUGUCACCCAAGUCCAUGGGCCAGCCAGCAGAUGGAGGGAGGGGAUGCUCUGUCUCUUUAAAAUACUUAGAAUUUGAACACAGCACCUAGGUUUAUAUUCCACUAACUAGAAGUUGGUAAUCUGGUCACAAAUACCUACAAAGUCAGCUAAAAUGUGUUCUCAGUGGCUAGAUAAAGGUCUAGGAUUCUAUGACUAUAGACAAAAGAGAUGAAGAGAUAAUGGAUUUUUUUUUUUUUUUUUGAGACAGGGUCUUACUCUGUCACCCAGGCUGGAGUGCAGUGGUAUGAAGAUGACUCACUACAGCCUCUACCUUCCAGGCUCAAGCAAUCCUCCUGCCUCAGCCUCCUGAAUAGCUGGGACUGCAGGUGUGCGCUACCACGUCUGCCUAAUUUAAUUUUUGGAGAGACAGCAUCUCACCAUUUGCCCAGGCUGGUCUCGAACUCCUGGGCUCAAGCAACCUUUCCGCCUUGGCCUCCCAAAGGGCUGGGAUUACAGGUGUGAGCCACAGUGACCAGCCAAGAGAUUUUCAGGGACAAUCAGUAGGGUCCACCAGAGCAGCCAAUGCAUUCUGUUCACUUUACCCUGACAUUGUCCUCUACCCCUAGCCCUCUGGUCUCACUUCCCAUGGGUUUCAGGGACCAGAGCACAGAGUCUCUCUGUGAGCAGCCCUCCUCCCUAUCCCUCAGGAAAAUCCUAUCUUGGUAGUUACUAAUAUCAAUAUCAAGUAUUAUACAGAGACUUGUUCUCUUCCAACUUGUAACAUUUAGAAUUGGUGAGAACAUGGUCACAGAUGGGUUCUUCAUUGAUUUAUAAUCAAAUUCUCUUAUUGUCAAGCAAAAAUGACUGUUUUCUGCUCAGUCUGUCAGUUGCUGCAGGGAAGUGAUAAGGAAAGGCUCUUCUGUGUCAGUCACCUAAGUGGUGGCUACGCAGUGCCCACCACCUGUUUAGACGAGGAAGAGAUGAGCACCUGUCUCAGGGUCCUCUGUCGAGAGGGUCCACUCUAGCUAUUUAAGCAGAAAAGGAAUUUAGGAAAUGGCACUGGGGAGGUCACAGACUCUCCAGAAGAGACAGCAAAUCAGGAUUCUUGAAGUCUGUGCAGCUGGGAAUAAUGUCGGAACGACACCAUGGAACCCACCCUAGAGACCACAGAUGUGUGCUGCCACACUCAACUAACUUUUAAAUUAUUUAAAAUUUUUUGUAGAGAUGAGGUCUUGCCAUGUUGCCCAGGCUGGUCUCAAACUCCUGGGAUCAAGAGAUCCCGCCUUGGCCUCCAAAGUGCCAGAAUCUCAGUCUCUUCUAACUCUAGAAUUCUAUGACCUCUAGGACCAGCAUGUGGAGACCUGGAAAAGAUAGAUUUAGAAGCUGGCAAAAGAGCCAACUCUCUGAUUUCCUCUUGCGUUCAGAUUUCAUCCAACCAUCCAUCCCCCAGGAGACGCUCAUCAGUCCUUGAAGAAUGCACCUCCUGAUUACAAUCAGAUAUUUUCCAAGUGCCAGCUGGAGAUUAACUGAUGGGAAGUCUCAGGUCAUAGAGGAUAUUGGGCCACAUCUGUCACUCCAUGGGGAAUUGUCAUUUCUGCUCAGUACUGAGGAGCUACGACCUGGGGACAGAAAAACCGGAGGAAUUGCAAAUUUAAAACACACACAGGGAGCCUAACUGGUGGUAUCUGAAUUAGAGCACAUUUUGUCCCUAUAGUCCAAGUUGGAGGCACUGAUGAGCAGCCCAAUUUUGUAAGGGUCUCAAAUAUUUACUUAAAGAAUAGUAUAGUAUAAAUACCUGCAUUAAAUCCAAUUGCUGUCACUAUUAAAAAUGUCAUACGAUUGUUUAUUUCUACUGCUUGCUCAGAAAGCAACCCAUGCUUGACAAAGGCCUGCUAUUUAUAAGAAGGUGCACAGAAAUGAACAGUAUUAAAUUUGGUGCCUGUUUAUUCCUCCAAGCUACCCAUACACCCUGCUUUACACUGAAAUGCUUUCUCCAUGUUUAUCCACAUUGUUUCUUUCCAAGUAAAACUUAUUACACAGAUUCCUCGGGGUAUUUUUUUUCUUUUCUUGAUUCUGGUUAAAUAAACUAUUGAUUUUGUUUUCAAGGUAACUUAAGGGGGAGUAAUACAGUUCUAAUUUGAUAAGUACAAUUGUAAUGCAUUCAAAGUAAACACACUUUAGG